rnacentral:tRNA from 1 species
UGUGUAUUAGUGUAAAGAGCACAAAAAGGUUUGAUCUUUUUAGAAGAGGUGAGAUUCCUUUAUGCACAA